UACAGAGGGCGCAAGCGUUAUCCGGAAUCACUGGGUGUAAAGGGUGCGUAGGCGGCUAAAUAAGUCAGAGGUGAAAGCUUGCAGCUUAACUGCGAAAUUGCCUUUGAUACUGUAUAGCUUGAAAGGAGGUGAGGGCAGCAGAAUGUGGCAUGUAGCGGUGAAAUGCGUAGAUAUGGCAUAGAAUACCAGUGGCGAAGGCAGCUGGCUGGGCGUACUUUGACUCUGAGGCACGAAAGCUAGGGGAUCGAACAGG
rnacentral:rRNA from 1 species